UAGGGAAUCUUCCACAAUGGACGCAAGUCUGAUGGAGCAACGCCGCGUGAGUGAAGAAGGUCUUCGGGUCGUAAAACUCUGUUGUUAGAGAAGAACACGAGUGAGAGUAACUGUUCAUUCGAUGACGGUAUCUAACCAGCAAGUCACGGCUAACUACGUGCCG
rnacentral:rRNA from 1 species